AACUUUCAUUCUGGCUCCUGUGAGGACGUCUUCUGGAGGUCUAACAAUUACGUCUGUAACACGUCUUUAAUUGACGUCUAAACAAUGUCCAGAAAAGACGUAAAAAAAACUUUCAUUCUGGCUCCUCUGAGGACGUCUUCUGGAGGUCUAACAAUUAUGUCUGUAACACGUCUUUAAUUGACGUCUAAACAAUGUCCAGAAAAGACGUAAAAAAAACUUUCAUUCUGGCUCCUCUGAGGACGUCUUCUGGAGGUCUAACAAUUAUGUCUUUUAGACGUGUUCUAGACGACUUUUUGCUCGCUGGGCAGUUGGAAUUACUAAAUGUAGAACCAAUGCGUUAAAAGAGUGCUGAGGUGUCUAUCAUAACUAAAGGGUGCGCACCUGAGUGUGAACCACAGACUGUACAUCAAAAAAACGGAGGGUUACGGAUUAUUAGCUGCUGUGACACUGAUCUUUGCAAUGCAGCAGAUGGAGUGUAUAAGGGAAGCUUCCUCCUGCUCUUGUCUCCUCUGCUCUUCUACUUCCUGUUUCAGUGAAUCCAGCUGAACGUCAUAGACCAGCAGAAACUCAAUAUGAUACACUAUCUGAUACUGAAUAAAGCUUGUUUGUUGCUCUGC